AUUUAGUUAUUUUUUUUUUUUAAACCAUUCCUGAAGUUUUUGAGGCUGAUUCCAGCUUGUUCUGCAUUAGUUCUGUACUAAUGUUGUUCCACUGAAUCUUGAUUUUAUGAAGACUCUUCUCCAAAUGACCAAACGCAAAACUUGACAUUGCCUUGUCCAAGUGUAUGAGACAGUCAGAAUGAUAACUGUUGAAUAUACCAGUUGAUUUAAUUUGGCUGAUGGAGAGUGGGCUCAAAGCUAAUUGGAUUACUGAAGUUUUGUGCAAGUAGGCAGCUAGCUGGAGCAGAGAGAAGCCCUGAAGUCACAUGGCAGAAAGAAAGGCAGCAGAUGAACUUAUAUCUUAGUAGAUACCAAACAAUUCAUGAGGGAGAUACACUAGUUAAUUGUCAAAAAAAGCACCUCAGAUUGUACCCAUGAAUGAGCACAAGAAAGAGAACCCCUAAGGAACCUGGACUCUUCCAGCGUCUGUUGAGUUACUUGCUUUUAUUAUGUUGUUUGUAUUGUGACUGGGACAAUAGCUUACAGCCCCCAGGAGGGCUUUUUGUGUGUCACUACAGACCAGAGAAAAAAUAACAGUAAUAAUAGUGAUAAAGGCCGAAUGUACUAAUGAAUGUUUCCUACCCAUGAAGCUAUUUUCAGGGCAGCACCUUUCUGUAAAUCUGCUGGCUUUGGCACUUCUCCAUAGUUUUCUCUCCACAGCCUUGUAAAAGUCUUGUUUGGUCUUAAUACACUAAUUUUGUGUCUGUUUAACUUCAAAUGGUGGCACAACAGGGCUCAAAAGGAUACUUGGGCUUUUGUUGUUCCUGCUAGGAAUGAAAGGCAACUCUGGUGCUGUAUCACCAGGGUCCAUCAAACCGAUGUAGUGCAGUUGAGGUUUAGCCAUCUUCUCAGGCUGUUCGCUGUUCUGGUCUGUGACUCGCAGGAGAUGUAAUCACCAAAGGUCCAUCUGACAUCUGGAGGGCACAAAAUCUUACUCCAGCAUGUUGGGGAGUUUUUGUCAGCAGCAUAUCCUCAGCCUGUGCCCACCCCAUUCCUCUUCCAGGGACAACCUUUGUAUAAGUAGCCAGAUGACAUGCAGGUAUAUGUAAGCCCCAAGAAAUCAAGUGGCUUGCAAAUGGCAAGUGGCAGAUCUAAACCU